UACGUAGGGGGCGAGCGUUGUCCGGAAUUAUUGGGCGUAAAGAGCGUGUAGGCGGUUCGGUAAGUCUGCCGUGAAAACCUGGGGCUCAACCCUGGGCGUGCGGUGGAUACUGCCGGGCUAGAGGGUGGUAGAGGCGAGUGGAAUUCCCGGUGUAGCGGUGAAAUGCGCAGAUAUCGGGAGGAACACCAGUAGCGAAGGCGGCUCGCUGGGCCAUGCCUGACGCUGAGACGCGAAAGCUAGGGGAGCGAACAGG
rnacentral:rRNA from 1 species